AGAUGUUGCUCAUUCAAGAGUGAAGUGCACGCGCUUUGGGACUGUGAGGAAAACAUUGCUCACAAAGCCCAUACACUUUCACCCUUGAGAAGAG
rnacentral:pre_miRNA from 1 species